rnacentral:lncRNA from 1 species
GUCACUACAACUCUCAUGGAAUUUGACAUGUCCCUUUCAAUGUAUUCAAAAUAAACUUUGCUUCCUCCUUCAAGCUUGUUGCAGUCAAGUUGAACAUUGCUUAUCCAUGCAAGUUGCACAAAUUGGCAUCCACGUGCGUCCAAAACAACCAGUUUCAAUCCAUGGUAUUUAUCCCCCUCAAAAUGUUGGUUUUUGACUUGGGAAAACCUUAUUUCCGUGCCUGCACAACCUGCCUGGGGCAGAGCAGUUAUGUCCUUCCGAAGUGCCAUGUCUGUGUUGAGUUUCGCGGCUGCUGCCUUUCUGCCACGAAUUGAGAGGACAUAAGUGCCUGCUCAAAACAUUAGUAUGUUGAUCUUCAUCUUAUAUUUAUUUGCUUCCACUCUUUAUUCUGCGUGUAACAUUUUUCUCUUUAAUCAUCUAUAGCCUAAUUUAAUGAAAGGAUAACUAACUUAGAACUUGCUCGUUUAAUGAUAAAAAUCAAAUGUGAAAAUAGAUAGUCUACUUCCUAAUGGUGGAUUUGAAUGGGGACCGGCAUUCCUGGAUUCUUCUGGGGAGGAAGUUUUACAGGUUACGGAACCAAGUCUUGCGGAAUCAACUGUACAGCAGUGGACCACAAUGGGAACUGCGAAAUACAUAAACUCUAAAACUUCUUUGGCUCAGAAGGAAAAGGUGCUAUGAGAUUGUUUCGGGAGUGGCUGGAAUACAAACAGCAAAACCACUUUCCAAGGGUUCUAAUUAUAACUUGGAAUUCAUGCUGGGAGACGCCAAUGACUCGUGAUCCGGGGAAUCAUAGUAGGGGUUGUAGCAGGAUCAUUGGCUCAGAAUUUUUCUCUGCAGAGCAGUGGGACACUGGGACUGGAGCACCCAAGUAAUAUUCAAUCACAUUCAAAGGAGAACCAAGUCCAAUCCCAAUCACCUUUCUUAGCUGCUAUAAGACUACACAGAGGGAAGAUUGCGCAUUUUGCGGUCCAGUCAUUCACUGUGUAGUUCUAAGUGGUUCUCAUGGGUACAAAUCCAAUCUGCAGCUUAUUUUUCUAUUUGCCUUACUUCAUCUAGCCCUUCUGCAAAUGAGCUAGCUACUAUGACAAUAUUCAGUUACACAAAUAUUUAGAACCAAGGUUUAAUAUGAAUUACAGAUUAUUUUCAUACAAAUUGAUUUUGUACUCGUUUUUCUUUUCAAUGCCAAUUAGCAUAUUUUGCACAAUCAAAUAACAAUUAGCGUAGGU